UAAUUAAUUUUAAUAUCAGCUUGCAUGCCCAUUUAAUUCUCUAGUCAUAUUGACACUAUCUGAAAAGAAAAUCAAAACUUGCCAGUAUCUAUCCAGUUGAUUUAAUGGAUCUUUCUCUUUCCUUUCUAGGCUCAGAUGCUGAAGACCAACAACACAAUAGAUGUGUUAUGUGUGGACCCACAGAUCAAUGACCCCAGCUCCUCCAAUGCCAUCUCCGGGAAUUCGUCCACUUGGGAGACGUCUCUAUCAGGCCUUAGCUCUCUGCUGCUCCUGUUGGCUACCUCCUUGUACUGCAUCUUCACAGCAGCAAUGCUGUAGCCACCUAACAACAUAAAACAUGGACAGUCACAAUUUGUACAAAGUCGAUCGCUGUCCCUGGUCAAUCUGUUGUAUUUGGGUACUCUCUCUUUCUCUUUCUUAGUCCCUCUCUUCCUCUCUCUUGCUGUUCUGUUUUUAAGAGCUUUUGUUGGUGUUGUUAAUGCAACAAAACAAAGUGGUCUUGGUGUACUCAAGUUUCUGUCUCUUCCCUCCUGAUUUUGCAUCGGAAGAUGAAACAUGAAAGAAAAGCGAGAGAACCUCGGAAUCAUUGCAGCAUUGUCAUGUGAUGUUGUGCUGUCUAAAGUCUGGAGGGCCAGAAAUCAUAAGGACUCCUGUAACAGCGUAGAGAGCAUAGAAUCUUAUCUGUGCAUAUGUGCACUACCCAUUGCUCACUGGUACACAAAGACACAGCAAAAUUGAGACCGAAACACUAUAGAACAUAAUUCCUGAGAUGUGCCACUGACCCAUCUAUAGGUCAAACAAUCAAACAUAUCGAAAGACAUUUACAAAACAUCUAGUUGUAGAAAGUGAGAGUUUAGAGAGAUCAAGAGUUUUUGGAUGACCAACAGGACCACUUGUCUGAAAAUACACGACGGAGCUUAUUUGACAAUUUUACUCUUGUUUGUCAUGGUUUGUUUGCGUGUGGCUAUAUAUGUGAAUACGUCAUGUUGUUUGUACAUCUGUUUGUUUGAAUGAAAUGAGUUCAUGGUUUUGCUGGAUGGAUAUGUCAAUAGAUCUGGGGUUUCGUAACUCCUGUGUCAACAGUUUACAGGAGAAACAUGGACUGAGGCCAGUCAGCAGCAUUGAUUCUUGUGUAAUCAGACAAAGUGUCAAUGUUCUAUGUUACAAUUACAUAUAUACGGAUCUUUAAAUUGCACAUCACCAUUCACCAGACUAAACCAACAGAAAUCCGCAUAACUAACAAAUUAUAAUGCCUUUUUUUGAUAUUGCUUUGACAUGGAUUUUCAUACUUCAACCCAAACGAAUCAUGCAAACUAGUCAUGUGUGUUAUAAACUGUAGCCAGUUUUUUUUUUUUUUUUUUUGUUCUGUAUAUCUAUACAAAAGUUACUGAAAGAGUCAGUAGCAGUGAUCCUUCAACACAAUUAUUUAAAAAUCAUUGAGAAUUAUAAAAAAAAAAAAAACAUACCCAGAAGUCUUAUAUAUGUCAGUAUGAGGCAUGUGCAGUUUAAUCACCUCAGCAUAACAAGUUAAAAGAGUCUGUGACAUGCUGCUUUGGUUCAUGUGGCAUUUUCAACAAAAAUUAUGUAUUGUUGUAUUCCACAUUAUUCAUAUGACAUUUUAAGUGCUACAUAAGAAAACACACAAACAUAUAUGUACUUCUACAUGAACUAUAUUUGUAGAGCCUACUAUAUUUGAAUAGGGAUCUGGUUAUAUGAUAUAUGAUCAUAUUGGAUGAUGAUGUAUGGCUUUUCUCAGUAACUUUAUAUACAGCGUAUAUUUUUGUUUAGAGAUUACAGUACAAAUUGAAGACUUGCAUCUGUCCUGUCCUACAUCACAAAUGAAGGAAAUGUACAACAGUCAUUUAUUUACUAUAACACCAUGUUAUUGUUUUAUUAUAAGCCAAUAAGCAAGAAAAAAAUAUCUUAUUUUUAUAUCUUUUCGCAUUAUGAGUUUAUUUAUUGUCAUAUUGUCUUUUCUGCUAGUAAGCAGUACAGGAACUUGAGGAAAAAAAAAAAAACAUGCAUGAGUGAUGGAAAUGCAAUAAUGGCUAUUGGAUGCAGUGUGUUAUAAAGUUUACACAGGCAUUCGGUGGUGGUCUGCUGCAUUUGGCUUUGGUUGCAACAUGAAGUUGCUGUGAAUGUGCUUUAGAUAAGAGCUGGACAGUAAGAUCCCCACAUUGUAAAAAACUAUAUUUCUCUACAUCCACAUCUUAUUGCUCCAGAGAAUUUACAAAUGAAACAAAAGACUCUUCCACAAUGUCACAUUUCUUCUUAGCUUGUGAAAAUGUAAAAAGUAUUCUAUGAAAACGAUUAAAAAUGUUGACUCAU